AUUGAACGCUGGCGGCAGGCCUAACACAUGCAAGUCGAGCGGAGCGGCGGACGGGUGAGUAAUGCCUAGGAAUCUGCCUGGUAGUGGGGGAUAACGUCCGGAAACGGGCGCUAAUACCGCAUACUAUCAGAUGAGCCUAGGUCGGAUUAGCUAGUUGGUGGGGUAAAGGCCUACCAAGGCGACGAUCCGUAACUGGUCUGAGAGGAUGAUCAGUCACACGGGAGCUGGGACGCGGGCCAGAAUCCUGCGGGAGGCAGCAGUGGGGAAUAUUGGACAAUGGGCGAAAGCCUGAUCCAGCCAUGCCGCGUAUGUGAAGAAGGUCAUCGGAUUGGAGAGCACUUUAGGUUGGGAGGCGUUACCAACAGAAUAAGCACCGGCUAACUUCGUGCCAGCCACCGCGGUAAUUC
rnacentral:rRNA from 1 species